rnacentral:rRNA from 1 species
GGCAGCACGGGAGCUUGCUCCUGGUGGCGAGUGGCGAACGGGUGAGUAAUGUAUCGGAACGUACCCCGUCGUGGGGGAUAACUCUCCGAAAGGAGAGCUAAUACCGCAUACGACCCGAGGGUGAAAGCGGGGGACCUGGGGUAACCUGGGCCUCGCGCGAUGGGAGCGGCCGAUAUCGGAUUAGCUAGUUGGUGGGGUAAAGGCCUACCAAGGCGACGAUCCGUAGCGGGUCUGAGAGGACGACCCGCCACACUGAAACUGAGACACGGUCCAGACUCCUACGGGAGGCAGCAGUGGGGAAUUUUGGACAAUGGGCGCAAGCCUGAUCCAGCCAUUCCGCGUGAGUGAAGAAGGCCUUCGGGUUGUAAAGCUCUUUCAGCAGGAACGAAACGGUGGGUCUUAAUACGGCCUGCUAAUGACGGUACCUGCAGAAGAAGCACCGGCUAACUACGUGACAGCAGCCGCGGUAAUACGUAGGGUGCGAGCGUUAAUCGGAAUUACUGGGCGUAAAGCGUGCGCAGGCGGCGACAUAAGACAGAUGUGAAAUCCCCGGGCUCAACCUGGGAACGGCGUUUGUGACUGUGUGGCUAGAGUGUAGCAGAGGGGGGUGGAAUUCCACGUGUAGCAGUGAAAUGCGUAGAGAUGUGGAAGAACACCGAUGGCGAAGGCAGCCCCCUGGGUUAACACUGACGCUCAUGCACGAAAGCGUGGGGAGCAAACAGGAUUAGAUACCCUGGUAGUCCACGCCCUAAACGAUGCCAACUAGGUGUUGGGGGAGGAGACUUCCUUAGUACCGUAGCUAACGCGUGAAGUUGGCCGCCUGGGGAGU